AAUGUAAAAUUCAAAGGCUGCUGGGUGACCUGAGGGAAAAAAUGCUUUACCAGCUCUUCAUGCCAAUUAUUCUUUCUCCUAAGAAUUUCUCUCUUCCUAGAACUAGCUCCGCCUCCUACUUACUAGGACAGGAGGCUUAGGGAAACUUAAAGAAUGAUUAGUCAAAAUUCAGUUAGUCGGUAUUCAAUUAGUUGACGAGUUGGAACAUAGAUGUCUUAUCAUAAAUAUUUGUUCCUAAACCUACCAUGCCAUGCCAAAUCUCUUGAGAGGCAUUAGGCACACGCUUGAGGGUCGUCCUGCCCUCAGGGAGCCUGCGGUUAGUAGCUAGUCCUUAAACCGGUAGGAUAUACACCC
rnacentral:lncRNA from 1 species